rnacentral:rRNA from 1 species
AGACCCGAAACCCGGUGAUCUAGCCAUGGGCAGGUUGAAGGUUGGGUAACACUAACUGGAGGACCGAACCGACUAAUGUUGAAAAAUUAGCGGAUGACCUGUGGCUGGGGGUGAAAGGCCAAUCAAACCGGGAGAUAGCUGGUUCUCCCCGAAAGCUAUUUAGGUAGCGCCUCGUGAAUUCAUCUCCGGGGGUAGAGCACUGUUUCGGCUAGGGGGCCAUCCCGGCUUACCAACCCGAUGCAAACUGCGAAUACCGGAGAAUGUUAUCACGGGAGACACACGGCGGGUGCUAACGUCCGUCGUGAAGAGGGAAACAACCCAGACCGCCAGCUAAGGUCCCAAAGUCAUGGUUAAGUGGGAAACGAUGUGGGAAGGCCCAGACAGCCAGGAUGUUGGCUUAGAAGCAGCCAUCAUUUAAAGAAAGCGUAAUAGCUCACUGGUCGAGUCGGCCUGCGCGGAAGAUGUAACGGGGCUAAACCAUGCACCGAAGCUGCGGCAGCGAACGUAUCACCCAAGACAACUUUACGGAGUUGACGAUUGACGGAGCGAAGCGACGUCAAAGCGUUCAUUAAAGUC